AUUGAACGCUGGCGGCAGGCCUAACACAUGCAAGUCGAACGAGUGGCGGACGGGUGAGUAAUGUCUGGGAAACUGCCUGAUGGAGGGGGAUAACUACUGGAAACGGUAGCUAAUACCGCAUACCAUCAGAUGUGCCCAGAUGGGAUUAGCUAGUUGGUGGGGUAACGGCUCACCAAGGCCACGAUCCCUAGCUGGUCUGAGAGGAUGACCCAGCCAACCUGAAACGAUACAAGGUCCAGACCCCUACGGGAGGCAGGAGUGGGGAAUAUUGCACAAAUGGGGGAAGCCUGGAGCCGCCAAGCCGGGUGGAUGAAAGAAGCCUUCGGGUUUGAAAGUACUUUUAGCGGGGAAGCGGUACCCGCAGAAGAAGCACCGGCUAACUCCGUGCCAGCAGCCGCGGUAAUAC
rnacentral:rRNA from 1 species